UACGUAGGGGGCUAGCGUUGUCCGUAAUCAUUGGGCGUAAAGCGCGUGUAGGCGGUCCGGUAAGUCCGCUGUGAAAGUCGGGGGCUCAACCCUCGGAUGCCGGUGGAUACUGUCGGGCUUGAGUACGGAAGAGGCGAGUGGAAUUCCUGGUGUAGCGGUGAAAUGCGCAGAUAUCAGGAGGAACACCAAUUGCGAAGGCAGCUCGCUGGGACGUUACUGGCGCUGAGACGCGAAAGCGUGGGGAGCAAACAGG
rnacentral:rRNA from 1 species